rnacentral:rRNA from 1 species
GACGAACGCUGGCGGCGUGCUUAACACAUGCAAGUCGAGCGGUAAGGCCCCUUUGGGGGUACACGAGCGGCGAACGGGUGAGUAACACGUGGGUGACCUGCCCUCAGCUCUGGGAUAAGCCUGGGAAACUGGGUCUAAUACCGGAUAUGACUCCAUGACGCAUGUUGUGGGGUGGAAAGCCUUGUGCGGCUGGGGAUGGGCCCGCGGCCUAUCAGCUUGUUGGUGGGGUGAUGGCCUACCAAGGCGACGACGGGUAGCCGGCCUGAGAGGGCGACCGGCCACACUGGGACUGAGACACGGCCCAGACUCCUACGGGAGGCAGCAGUGGGGAAUCUUGCGCAAUGGGCGAAAGCCUGACGCAGCGACGCCGCGUGAGGGAUGACGGCCUGG